UUGAGACGUCAUGUGAAUAUGCCUAUACCGCUACUUCUCAGUUUCAGCAAAGUGGAGAAAGUGUUCUGCUGACAGCUGUAGUUUUCUUAUCCGAUCGACAGAGAGGUGCCAAAUGGCAUCAAAUAGAAAUAUGGCCUUGCUCGCUAACUCAUCGCUACUGUAAAAAAAUGUGUUGUUCCCAAGUAGCAUCUGCAAUGCUGGUUGUUUCCCGAAAAAAGUACCCAGCUUCUCAACCAAUCUUUGCUAAACAACCCACAACCCACAUUAUCCGGAUGUACGCGUGGAUUGGCUGGGACUCGUAUGGAUGGACCCAAGGAAAAGUUGACGACCAACGAAGGAACCAACUCCAGUGCAUCAUAUUUUCCGUUCAAGUAAUGGUAGCAACGACUGCGAAAAAGUGGCCUCCGGCAGGUGCCUCUUAUGAAGGAUCUGGCAAACCAUAUCUGAGGUAUAGACCAACGCAGACGAUCGCACCCAGAGCUGUCGAGUGUACGGAGCACAAAGCAUCCAAUGGAAUACCCAGUUAUGUUCAAAUAUCUCCUGCCAGGAAAAAAACGGAGCAGAAAAAUAUGAUAAAGGAUGAAAACACCGUUGUCAAUGGGUUAUUUUGGUCGUUACCAGGCCGUUCCUUGUUUGACGAUUCCACGCGUGGGCAAUAAAAUAUUCACCGGUACGGUACCGGUAUCACUGACUACAAUGGCAAUCGAAAGGUGGAUGUUGGAAUCCAUUUAGUAGAACGUUAUGAAAAAAUACUCUAAAUGUUAUUCCACGAUGCAGCGAAGUUCAAGACAAACAACGAGAACAGUAUCUAACAUGAAAGCCAAUCUAUAUUUUAAGAAUGAUACUUCCGUUUUCAAUUUUCAAAGUCCAUUCAUUUUGCAUGUUAGAUUGACUAACAGGUUUUUUUUUAUAUUCUAAUUCGACGGUCUUGGAGAAGAUUCAUGGAUAGGUAACGAAGCUGGACGCUAUUAAGUUCAUGAUUUAUUUAGUGAUUAAUCUUCAAAGAUUAGAUGUAUGUUACGAAGAUUUUGUUUAUAUUGGGUGUCUAUUUAGUUCAUAUAAACCUAUCCAGUCUUUUGUAUAUUUUAGAAUUAGACGUAAAUGUGUAUACAAAUGCGUUACAUAUAAAAUCAUUUUGUUUUCCAUGUACAACUAUGUUCACUUGCCUAAAUAAAUGAUAAAGGGACAAUUGAAGUAAGAUGUA